GAUGAACGCUGGCGGCGUGCCUAAUACAUGCAAGUCGAGCGAACAGACGAGGAGCUUGCUCCUCUGACGUUAGCGGCGGACGGGUGAGUAACACGUGGAUAACCUACCUAUAAGACUGGGAUAACUUCGGGAAACCGGAGCUAAUACCGGAUAACAUGUUGAACCGCAUGGUUCAACAGUGAAAGACGGUCUUGCUGUCACUUAUAGAUGGAUCCGCGCCGCAUUAGCUAGUUGGUAAGGUAACGGCUUACCAAGGCAGCGAUGCGUAGCCGACCUGAGAGGGUGAUCGGCCACACUGGAACUGAGACACGGUCCAGACUCCUACGGGAGGCGGCAGUAGGGAAUCUGCCGCAAUGGGCGAAAGCCUGACGGAGCAACGCCGCGUGAGUGAAGAAGGUCUUCGGAUCGGAAAACUCUGUUAUUAGGGAAGAACAAAUGUGUAAGUAACUAUGCACGUCUUGACGGUACCUAAUCAGAAAGCCACGGCUAACUACGUG
rnacentral:rRNA from 1 species